UGGAGAAAGUGUGACUUAGCUUGGCC
rnacentral:piRNA from 1 species